AGGUUACGUAAUGGAGAUGAAAGGCAAGCUACAGGAAGUGAAAUUGGCAAUUCUUCUUGGUCCCUGUUUGGGAAAAUGUGAAUCUCAUCCUCUCAGUUUCUAGUUUGACAGACUAUAAGAAGGGACAUACCUAACAAAGAAUACAUCUUGCAGAUUGCUACAUAAAGAGAGGAAGUGAAUCGCUACCACUCAAUCCUGACAUUAAUUCAACAGACACAUAUUUUGAUUUCUGAAGAAUUAUGGAAACAUUCUUUCAGAAGAGAACAAUGAAAGAUAGCAUUCUGUGUUUAGCACAUUUCCCCUUUCCAAGUGGCAGUGGAGCGUUGUAACAGCAAAGUAAAUUGCUUCUUAUUUCUAUGUGCUUUUUAAAACUGUGACACUGACUGAGCUGAACCACCAAGACCACAUCUGUACACAGCUAAAUAAAAGGUUUUACAUGAUGG
rnacentral:lncRNA from 1 species